GGAUGUGAGGGCAAUCUGGCUGUGACGUCUCUCACCCAAUUGAUCACCAGGGUUAAUCCGGCUGAUCUGGCUGGCUAGGCCGGUGUCUCCUUCCUUCCUCCCUCACUGCUCCAUGUAUGUCCCUCCGGAGGCUGCACACUCAGUCGAAGAGAACGACCAUCGCCAAUAGAGGAGGACUGGUCUUCAGUUAAGGGUAUGUAAGUAGUUGCGUUCCCCUGCUAGAACCUCCAAACAAGCUCUCAAGGUCCCAAGUAGCUAGGAUUACGGGCACACGCCAUCAUGCUUUGCUAUGAUUCUCUUCUCAGUUAAAAGUAGUGCUGUUCUUUUAGCUG
ensembl:misc_RNA 7SK 7SK RNA